CCAAAGAGUGGCACCAACGAGUCUAGAAACAAAUCCGCACCGGCGAUUCGGGCUACGGUGGCGUCGGCGGCACCGCUGAAACUGCAGAUCCCGGCGGGGGAGUGAAGAACGCGCAAAUCGUCCGGCUCAGCCUCGGCGUGGCCCUGAGGUCGCAACCACCGCCUCCCCUUAACCGCAGACUACGGAAGCCGGCAAGCGAGUCCAGAGAAGGACCAAACUGCGGACGCUUCGAGAGGCGGGGCAUCCGUCGAGCGGAAUCACUAGCGAGCUGCCCUCACUGCGCAGGCGUGGGCGGCCGCAGAAACCCGCUAGACUGUUGGGUUCCAUUUCUGGCUAAAAUUCAGGGCGUGCAUGGAACCUUGCAUACCUUCAAAUGGCCUCCAGUUGGUUCCCUUUAGGAAACCCCUAGUUCAUCAAGCCUAUCUGCAUACAUCUCAUUGCCAUCAUCGUACGUGAAUUUCCAUCUGAACCACACACAAUUGAGGAAUAUGUCUAGACAACCAUUCCCUUGUCCUGGAAGACCUGGGGAUGAGCAAGAAGCUUGCCAAGGUUCUAAAACAGGAAAUUGGUGAGUCCCCAGAGCAACAGUGGACCACUGGGGGGAGGAGUGACCCUCAAAAUGAGCUUAAUGGUGGCUUUGGUGGCUUUGCCCAAAGCAGACUGAACUGUGGUUCAAAAGCCAGAGUUCCAGAUUCUAGGCUUCCCUAAAGACAGUAAGAUAAAUACAUGAUCUAUUUUCAUAUUUCAAAAAGGUUCCUGUUAGUGGUAAUUAUUUAUUACCAUAAAUGCUUACUUUUUUUAAAUGGCCACAACCAAGGCAUAUGGAAGUUCCCUGACCAGGGAUUGAAUCCGAGCUUCAGGAGUUCCUGUCAUGGCUCAGUGGUUAAUGAACCCGAUUAGUAUCCAUAAGGACACGGGUUCAAUCAGUGGGUUAAGGAUCCCCCCUUGUGGUGAGCUGUGGUGAAGGUCACAGACGCGGCUUGGAUCCAGCUUUGCUGUGGCUCUGGUGUAGGCCGGUGGCUUUAGCUCUGACUGGACCCCUAGCAUGGGAACCUCCAUAUGCCGCGANAAAAAAAAAAAAAAAAAAAAAAAAAAAAAAAACAGCACGCAUUGCCUUGGGAGUUCCCACUGUGGCAAAGUGGGUUAAUGAUCAGGCUUAUCUCCAUGGAGGUGCAGGUUUGAUCCCCAGCUGAGAACAGUGGGUUAAGGAUCUGGUGUUGCUGCAGCUUGGUUUUUAUCCCUUGUCUGGGAACUUGCAUAUGGUGCUGGGACAGUGGAAAAAAAAAAAAUUUCGGGGUGGAAGGGUGGCCUAAACCCAGGAAUUCUGAUUCUGUACUUUUUUUUUUUUUUUGCUUUUUAGGGCCACAUCCAUGGCAUGUGGAGGUUCCCAGGCUAGGAGUCCAAUCGGAGCUACAGCAGCCGGCCUACACCACAGCCACAGCAAUGUGGGAUAUGAGUUGUGUCUAUGACCUACACCACAGCUCAUGGCAACGCCGGAUCCUUAACCCACUGAGUGAGGCCAGGGAUUGAACCCGCAACCUCAUGGUUCCUAGUUGGAUUCAUUUCCGCUGAGCCUCGACGAGAACUUCCUGAUUCUGUACAUUUGUGAUGAGUCCCUGGAUUUGCAGUGUUUGUUUAUUUGGUUUUUUUUUGUCCAAGCUUGUGGCAUGUGAAAGUUCCUGGGCCAGGGAUCGAACCUGUGCCAUGGUAGCAACCUGAGUCGCACCACAGAGGAACUCCAGAAUCUGCAUUUUUAAAAAACUCCAAAGAUCCUAUUUUGAUUAGGAUGAUGUAUUGGAGAAACACAAUGAGAUAGGCAAAUGUGAGCCUUUGAAAGCUUUUGAGGAGAUCUGCAUUUUUUUGCUAUUGUUGUUUUGUUUUUGUGUGUGUGGCCAAGAUGUGCAGCAGCUUGAUGUGGUAUCUCAGUUCCCAGACCAGGGAUUGAACCCAGGCCUCAGCAGGGGAAGCACUGAAUCCCAACCAUUAGGCCACCAGGGAACUCUGAGAUCUGCAUUUUAGAUUACUCUCCCUGUCAAUGUGGGGAAGGAAUUAGAAGGCGCCAAGGUGAGAAUCAUAGAUUUUAGUGAUUAUGUCUAUUAAUAUAGGUCUGGAUGAGGAUCCAUGGAAAAUAAUAGCGCAAAGGAACAGCUGGGGCUUUGGAGUCAGGUAAUGAAAUCUGAAUCUAGAUUUAUUUACCUUAUACAACCAGUGCCACCUUUGACAUGUUGCUUAAGCUCUAGGCUUCUUUUUCCUUACGUAUAAAUGGUUAUAAUAAUGUCUUCUUCAUAUGACUAUUUGGGAGAGUAUGAAAAAACUUAGUACACAGUAGCUGCUCAAUACCAGUAGGUAAUUGGUUUGGAAUAUUGUUAAAGAGAUAGACUUAACUAGUAGCUAUUUGGAUAUGGUAGGUGAAGGAGAGGAAAUAUCCUAAGAUAACCACUAGGCUUCCAGCUAUGAUGAUACGGGGGCUGUAGUGCCAUGAACUAGCACAGAAUGCCGAAAGAGGAGUUCCCCUUCUGGCUCAGUGGAAAUAAACCUGACUAGUUUCCAUGAGGAUGUGGGUUU
rnacentral:lncRNA from 1 species